rnacentral:rRNA from 1 species
GAUUUUUUAAAUUGCUGUGGUAUUUUGACUAUACAAAGGUAUUGAAAUAAGAUUUUAAUUGAAUGCUAAGAGAAUGGAAUUUCAGAAAAAAACUAUUUUAAAAUUAAAAAUUGAACUUUUUUUAAUUUGUGCAGAAACAAUUAUUUAAAUUAAGGACAAGAAGACCCUAAGAAUUUAACAGUUUAAAUAAUUCAUUAAUGAUUAAUUAAAUUUUAGCUGGGGCGGCUAAGAAAUAUUAAAAACUUUUUAAUUUAAUAUGACCCAUUAUUAAUGAUAAUAUGGAAAAAUACUCUAGGGAUAACAGCGUUAUAUUUUUUGAUAGACCAUAUUGACAAAAAAGUUUGCGACCUCGAUGUUGGAUUAGGAUACUUUUUUAAUGAAGACAUAAAA